rnacentral:rRNA from 1 species
UUAGGGUACUGCGGAGACAUUAUUGAUCUUUGAAGGAGCUGUUUGCUGGCCUCUAGCGGGGCAUGUGCACGUUCCGUUCAAAAUCCAACCUUUUAUACCCCUGUGCACCUUUUGUAGGGUCGUGGCUGUGAGGCUACGCUCUAUGUUUAUCGUAUAAACUCUUCAGUAUGUGUAGAAUGACACCGCGUGUAACGCAUCUUUAUACAACUUUCAGCAACGGAUCUCUUGGCUCUCGCAUCGAUGAAGAACGCAGCGAAAUGCGAUAAGUAAUGUGAAUUGCAGAAUUCAGUGAAUCAUCGAAUCUUUGAACGCACCUUGCGCUCCUUGGUAUUCCGAGGAGCAUGCCUGUUUGAGUGUCAUGGAAUCAUCAAUCUCUCGUCUUUUUUAUAUUGACGAUGAAGGCUUGGACUUGGAGGCUUGUGCCGGUUUUGGUUUGACCAGUCGGCUCCUCUUGAAUGCAUUAGCUUGAACCUAUGCUAUAUCAGCUGUUCGGUGUGAUAAUUGUCUACGCCGUGGCUGUGAGGCUAUAAAAUUGUAGGAUCAGCUUCAAACCGUCCCUUGGGACAAUAUCUUCAUUGACCUCUGACCUCAAAUCAGGUAGGAUUACCCGCUGAACUUAAGCAUAUCAAA